GGUUAAGCGACUAAGCGUACACGGUGGAUGCCCUGGCAGUCAGAGGCGAUGAAGGACGUGCUAAUCUGCGAAAAGCGUCGGUAAGGUGAUAUGAACCGUUAUAGCCGGCGAUGUCCGAAUGGGGAAACCCAGUGCAAUUCGUUGCACUAUCGUUAACUGAAUACAUAGGUUAACGAGGCGAACCGGGGGAACUGAAACAUCUAAGUACCCCGAGGAAAAGAAAUCAACCGAGAUUCCCCCAGUAGCGGCGAGCGAACGGGGAGCAGCCCGGAGUCUGAAUCAGCUUGUGUGUUAGUGGAAGCGUCUGGAAAGUCGCAGGGUACAGGGUGAUACUCCCGUACACUAAAACAUACAGGCUGUGAACUCGAAGAGUAGGGCGGGACACGUGGUAUCCUGUCUGAAUAUGGGGGGACCAUCCUCCAAGGCUAAAUACUCCUGACUGACCGAUAGUGAACCAGUACCGUGAGGGAAAGGCGAAAAGAACCCCGGCGAGGGGAGUGAAAAAGAACCUGAAACCGUGUACGUACAAGCAGUAGGAGCCCACUUGUUGGGUGACUGCGUACCUUUUGUAUAAUGGGUCAGCGACUUAUAUUCUGUAGCAAGGUUAACCGUAUAGGGGAGCCGCAGGGAAACCGAGUCUUAACUGGGCGUUAAGUUGCAGGGUAUAGACCCGAAACCCGGUGAUCUAGCCAUGGGCAGGUUGAAGGUUGGGUAACACUAACUGGAGGACCGAACCGACUAAUGUUGAAAAAUUAGCGGAUGACUUGUGGCUGGGGGUGAAAGGCCAAUCAAACCGGGAGAUAGCUGGUUCUCCCCGAAAGCUAUUUAGGUAGCGCCUCGUGAAUUCAUCUUCGGGGGUAGAGCACUGUUUCGGCUAGGGGGUCAUCCCGACUUACCAACCCGAUGCAAACUACGAAUACCGAAGAAUGUUAUCACGGGAGACACACGGCGGGUGCUAACGUCCGUCGUGAAGAGGGAAACAACCCAGACCGCCAGCUAAGGUCCCAAAGUCAUGGUUAAGUGGGAAACGAUGUGGGAAGGCCCAGACAGCCAGGAUGUUGGCUUAGAAGCAGCCAUCAUUUAAAGAAAGCGUAAUAGCUCACUGGUCGAGUCGGCCUGCGCGGAAGAUGUAACGGGGCUAAACCAUGCACCGAAGCUGCGGCAGCGACACUAUGUGUUGUUGGGUAGGGGAGCGUUCUGUAAGCCGUUGAAGGUGGCCUGUGAGGGUUGCUGGAGGUAUCAGAAGUGCGAAUGCUGACAUAAGUAACGAUAAUGCGGGUGAAAAACCCGCACGCCGGAAGACCAAGGGUUCCUGUCCAACGUUAAUCGGGGCAGGGUGAGUCGACCCCUAAGGCGAGGCCGAAAGGCGUAGUCGAUGGGAAACAGGUUAAUAUUCCUGUACUUGGUGUUACUGCGAAGGGGGGACGGAGAAGGCUAUGUUGGCCGGGCGACGGUUGUCCCGGUUUAAGCAUGUAGGCGGAUGUUCCAGGUAAAUCCGGAACGUCACUAACGCUGAGGUGUGAUGACGAGGCACUACGGUGCUGAAGUGACAAAUGCCCUGCUUCCAGGAAAAGCCUCUAAGCAUCAGGUAACAUCAAAUCGUACCCCAAACCGACACAGGUGGUCAGGUAGAGAAUACCAAGGCGCUUGAGAGAACUCGGGUGAAGGAACUAGGCAAAAUGGUGCCGUAACUUCGGGAGAAGGCACGCUGAUGGUAAGUGAAGUGACUUGCUCAUGGAGCUGAAAUCAGUCGAAGAUACCAGCUGGCUGCAACUGUUUAUUAAAAACACAGCACUGUGCAAACACGAAAGUGGACGUAUACGGUGUGACGCCUGCCCGGUGCCGGAAGGUUAAUUGAUGGGGUUAUCCUCGCGGAGAAGCUCUUGAUCGAAGCCCCGGUAAACGGCGGCCGUAACUAUAACGGUCCUAAGGUAGCGAAAUUCCUUGUCGGGUAAGUUCCGACCUGCACGAAUGGCGUAAUGAUGGCCAGGCUGUCUCCACCCGAGACUCAGUGAAAUUGAACUCGCUGUGAAGAUGCAGUGUACCCGCGGCAAGACGGAAAGACCCCGUGAACCUUUACUAUAGCUUGACACUGAACACUGGUCCUUGAUGUGUAGGAUAGGUGGGAGGCUUUGAAGUGUGGACGCCAGUCUGCAUGGAGCCAUCCUUGAAAUACCACCCUUUAAUGGCUGGUGUUCUAACGUGGGCCCGUAAUCCGGGUUGCGGACAGUGUCUGGUGGGUAGUUUGACUGGGGCGGUCUCCUCCUAAAGAGUAACGGAGGAGCACGAAGGUCAGCUAAUCCUGGUCGGACAUCAGGAGGUUAGUGCAAUGGCAUAAGCUGGCUUGACUGCGAGCGUGACGGCGCGAGCAGGUGCGAAAGCAGGUCAUAGUGAUCCGGUGGUUCUGAAUGGAAGGGCCAUCGCUCAACGGAUAAAAGGUACUCCGGGGAUAACAGGCUGAUACCGCCCAAGAGUUCAUAUCGACGGCGGUGUUUGGCACCUCGAUGUCGGCUCAUCACAUCCUGGGGCUGAAGUAGGUCCCAAGGGUAUGGCUGUUCGCCAUUUAAAGUGGUACGCGAGCUGGGUUUAGAACGUCGUGAGACAGUUCGGUCCCUAUCUGCCGUGGGCGCUGGAGAAUUGAGGGGGGCUGCUCCUAGUACGAGAGGACCGGAGUGGACGCAUCACUGGUGUUCGGGUUGUCAUGCCAAUGGCAUUGCCCGGUAGCUAAAUGCGGAAGAGAUAAGUGCUGAAAGCAUCUAAGCACGAAACUUGCCCCGAGAUGAGUUCUCCCUGACUCCUUGAGAGUCCUGAAGGAACGUUGAAGACGACGACGUUGAUAGGCCGGGUGUGUAAGCGCAGCGAUGCGUUGAGCUAACCGGUACUAAUGAACCGUGAGGCUUAACCUU
rnacentral:rRNA from 1 species